CGUCAAGUCAGCAUGGCCUUUAUAUCCUGGGCUACACACACGCUACAAUGGCCAACACAAUAGGUUGCUAAGCCGCGAGGUGGCGCCAAUCCAUAAAGUUGGUCUCAGUUCAGAUUGUAGGCUGCAACCCGCCUGCAUGAAGAUGGAGUUGCUAGUAACCGCAGGUCAGCUAUACUGCGGUGAAUACGUUCCCGGGGCUU
rnacentral:rRNA from 1 species